UACGUAGGGUGCAAGCGUUGUCCGGAAUUAUUGGGCGUAAAGAGCUCGUAGGCGGUCUGUCGCGUCUGCUGUGAAAUCUCAGGGCUUAACCCUGAGCUUGCAGUGGGUACGGGCAGACUAGAGUGCGGUAGGGGAGACUGGAAUUCCUGGUGUAGCGGUGAAAUGCGCAGAUAUCAGGAGGGAACACCGGUGGGCGAAGGCGG
rnacentral:rRNA from 1 species